AGGUGCGAUCAUACCAGCACUAAUGCACCGGAUCCCAUCAGAACUCCGAAGUUAAACGUGCUUGGGCGAGAGUAGUACUAAGAUGGGUGACCUCUUGGGAAGUCCUCGUGUUGCACCCC
rfam:Ricinus communis cultivar Hale ctg_1100012314623, whole genome shotgun sequence.